CAGUAGCCACGGUAAUACGUAGGGUGCAAGCGUUAAUCGGAAUUACUGGGCGUAAAGCGUGCGCAGGCGGUUUGUUAAGACAGAUGUGAAAUCCCCGGGCUCAACCUGGGAACUGCAUUUGUGACUGGCAAGCUAGAGUGUGGCGGAGGGGGGUGGAAUUCCGCGUGUAGCAGUGAAAUGCGUAGAUAUGCGGAGGAACACCGAUGGCGAAGGCAGCCCCCUGGGCCAACACUGACGCUCAUGCACGAAAGCGUGGGGAGCAAACAGGAUUAGAUACCCCCGUAGUCCCUGUCUCUUAUAC
rnacentral:rRNA from 1 species